ACUUGCCAAAUAAUUUCAUCGAGUAAAUUUUUGAUGAUUUAGAUACUUGGAUAGAAGGGCUCUUCCUUCUCUAUAUUCUAUAAAAAUUUCAUUAAUUUUUGAUGUCAAAAUAUAGGAUUUUUGAUUUAUCUUCUAAGGCAACGCAUUUAAUAAAGAGCCUUCUUUAAGAAGGACUCUUUAUUUCUCAUGCUGAUUUGAGGUGGGCGGCAAUUAUA
rnacentral:lncRNA from 1 species